rnacentral:rRNA from 1 species
GAUGAACGCUGGCGGCGUGCCUAAUACAUGCAAGUCGAACGCUUUGUCUUUAAUUGAUAUGAAGAGCUUGCUCUGAUUUGAUUUUAUCUGACAAAGAGUGGCGAACGGGUGAGUAACACGUGGGUAACCUACCUCUUAGCAGGGGAUAACAUUUGGAAACAAGUGCUAAUACCGUAUAACACUAACAACCGCAUGGUUGUUAGUUGAAAGAUGGUUCUGCUAUCACUAAGAGAUGGACCCGCGGUGCAUUAGCUAGUUGGUAAGGUAAUGGCUUACCAAGGCGAUGAUGCGUAGCCGAGUUGAGAGACUGAUCGGCCACAAUGGGACUGAGACACGGCCCAUACUCCUACGGGAGGCAGCGGUAGGGAAUCUUCCACAAUGGGCGCAAGCCUGAUGGAGCAACGCCGCGUGUGUGAUGAAGGGUUUCGGCUCGUAAAACACUGUUAUAAGAGAAGAACGACAUUGAGAGUAACUGUUCAGUGUGUGACGGUAUCUUAUCAGAAAGGAACGGCUAAAUACGUG